GACCUCGUAGCUCAGUUGGAUAGAGCAGCAGCCUUCUAAGCUGCGGGUCGGAGGUUCGAGUCCUCUCGGGGUCG
rnacentral:tRNA from 1 species